rnacentral:rRNA from 1 species
UAAUACGUAGGGUGCAAGCGUUGUCCGGAUUUAUUGGGUUUAAAGGGUGCGUAGGCGGCCUAUUAAGUCAGUGUUUAAAUUCUGCAGCUCAACUGUAGGUAUGGCAUUGAUACUGAUGGGCUUGAAUAUUAAGGAGGUGGCUAGAAUUUAUGGUGUAGCGGUGAAAUGCAUAGAUACCAUAAGGAAUACCGAUAGCGGAGGCAUGUCACCACUUGGUAAUUGACGCUGAGGCACGAAAGUGUGGGGAUCAAACAGG